rnacentral:rRNA from 1 species
UACGUAGGUGGCAAGCGUUGUCCGGAAUUAUUGGGCGUAAAGCGCGCGCAGGUGGUCUCUUAAGUCUGAUGUGAAAGCCCACGGCUCAACCGUGGAGGGUCAUUGGAAACUGGGGAACUUGAGUGCAGGAGAGAAGAGUGGAAUUCCACGUGUAGCGGUGAAAUGCGUAGAGAUGUGGAGGAACACCAGUGGCGAAGGCGACUCUUUGGCCUGUAACUGACACUGAGACGCGAAAGCGUGGGGAGCAAACAGG